UUUGCUACUGUAGCAUAGUUUUGAAAUUAAUGUUGAUAGUAAAAGUUACUCCCCUUCUGAAAAAUUUUAAGACUAUGGUCUCAUAUUUCUGUCACUUAAUGAUGUUGUUCUUCAUGAUUGAUGAGAAUAAAAAAUAAAUAUGUGAUGGUCCCAUAUCUUAGGAUAAGCAAGGUAUUAGGUCCUGAACAUAUGGAUGUUCAAAGACUAAUUAUAUCUCCACCCAG
rnacentral:lncRNA from 1 species